rnacentral:tRNA from 2 species
GCUGCUGUAGCUCAGUUGGCAGAGCGCGUCCUUGGUAAGGACGAGGUCACGGGUCCGACUCCCGUCAGCAGCU